UUGGAGGGCAAGUCUGGUGCCCGCAGCCGCGGUAAUUCCAGCUCCAAUAGCGUAUAUUAAAGUUGUUGCAGUUAAAAAGCUCGUAGUUGAAUUUCGGGAUUGACACAUCGGUCGUGCCUUAAGGGGUGUGAACUGGUGUAGUCAAUUUCUCACCUUCUGGAGAACCGCGAUGUCCUUAAUUGGGUGCCGCGAGGAACCAGGACCUCUACUUUGAAAAAAUUAGAGUGUUUAAAGCAGGCAUUUUUGCUUGAAUACAUUAGCACGGAAUAAUAAAAUAGGACGGCAUGAUUCUAUUUUGUUGGUUUCUAGGAUCACCGUAAUGAUUAAUAGGGAUAGUUGGGGGCAUUAGUAUUCAAUUGUCAGAGGUGAAAUUCUUGGAUUUAUUGAAGACUAACUACUGCGAAAGCAUUUGCCAAGGAUGUUUUCAUUAAUCAAGAACGAAAGUUAGGGGAUCGAAGACGAUCAGAUACCGUCGUAGUCUUAACCAUAAACUAUGCCGACUAGGAAUCAGGCGAUGUUAAUUUUUUAAUGACUCGUUUGGCACCUUACGGGAAACCAAAGUGUUUGGGUUC
rnacentral:rRNA from 1 species